GUCCCAUCCCGAACCCGGUAGUUAAGCCCCUCAGCGCCGAUGGUACUGCAUGGGAGACUGUGUGGGAGAGUAGGACGCCGCCGGAC
rnacentral:rRNA from 1 species